rnacentral:lncRNA from 1 species
ACCAGAGCCUGGGAGCUGCCCCCGCCCCCGAGCCGCGAGCCCCGCGCCGGGCCGGGGAGUCCCCGGCGCCACACGCCCCCACCACCCCCAUCUUAGCGCCCCCCACCCUCUAUGGAGACAUUUCAACCAGGGAGAAGGGAAGUCCUGCCCUUGCCCCUCGCCCCCGCCCUGCUCCUCCAACAGGGGAGACUUCUGUCCAAACCUUGGAAAGAAACGAGAUGCCAGGCCUAGCGCCUUCGGGGAUCCUCUCUGGACAAGGCCACAGGGUGAAAACACCAGGUGAGGACUUCACUACCCUUGGGGCCACCAUGGGACCCUGGAGACCUUUGCCUCCCUCCAGGCGCCCCCGACCCCUUAAACUUUUUCUCCCUGAGCUCAGCCUGGAGCAGAGUUAGGAUCCUGGGAAAGCCCCUUACCAGUUGCUCCAACCCCCUCCUUAAACUGGAAGGGAAACUGAGGCCCAGAGAAAAGUAGUGAUUGACUAGGGCCACAUGGCACGUUCCUAGAGGAAGAGCAUGGGCCAGAACCCACAGAUGCUGACCUCCUGGCCAGAGGUCAAGGCAUUCCUUAUGGUUGAGCAUAGCCAGCCCCGUGUGCCAGUAUCCAGCCCCUGCCCUGCACCAAGCAGAGGGGCUGGACACCUCUGUCAUGGCACCAGCUGCCUCUCCUUCCCCAGCACAGUCUGGACCUGGGCGGACUUUUUGGAAAAGCUUCUGGAUGCCACGGACUCCACGACCAACCAACUAGGUUGCUGCUGCUUGCAAACAUCGCCUCCAUUGAAGGAUUCCUGCAGCCACCAGCUCUGGAACUUUCUGGAACCAAACAUUUCCCCAGACUGCCUACAAGGACCAAUUGGCCUCUGGAUCACUUCCUGGAGGCGUUUGACCGGGACCUGGGAGGGCAGCUGAGAAGUGCCUGACCAUUCUCAAGGAGCUGCGUGGAUUCCAGACAUCUCUGGGCUGGUCUCUGGACCGGGAUGGGGGACCCAGAGGUGGAGCCGAACACACAAGCAGCACUUGAGGGCUCCGAGGGUGGCAAGGAGAGAAGUUCCUGCUCUGGUACAGCCCUGGGACCUUGAAAGGUGCUUCAACAGAGCGUCCACUCCCAGCGCCUAGCUCUGGGACCUUGAAUGGUGCUUUAACAGAGCGUCUGCUCCCAGCGCCAAGCCCUCAGUGCAGAGGGGGAGACUCAGGCGGCCCUCAGACACAAUUCGCCAAGGUCGCACAGCAAGUCAGGGUGCCGCUAAGACUAGGACCUACAGCUCUGCCUCCUGGCCCAGGCUCCUCAGCACCUGGGCCCCAGAGGACAGCCUGUGGGAGGCCCACAUGGCCACUGCACCAUGAACCAAGGACCUGGUCCGGGUCCACCUCCACCAAGUGCUGGCCGUGUGUCACUGGGGUCACUCCACUCUCUGCAUUAGGUCUCAGUCAUCCAAGACCAUCUUUCAAGGGCCGUCACUCCAAUUAUGAGUCUGGGAUUUUCUGAAAUUGAGCAUUUUGGCCAGGCUGUGGGGUCCCUCUAUGACUGCCUGUAAGACACUGCCAAGGGGACUUUCUUCCUUUCACCAGACUGAAGCUAAGAAGUGCUGGAGACAGCAGUUGCUUUAGCCACAGGCUGUGUAGACCACCUGAGGAUGACCUGGGGGUCUGUUUUGUGCACCUUGGAACCCAUCGGAUCCCUCCAAUGGUGAGUCCCCUGGUGUACCCAGCACCAAGCUGUGAGAACGACCCCCAACGGGUUGGGUGGAAGAAGCAAAACUACAGGCUCAGUCCCAGUACUUACUCCCCUGUGUCCACACAGGCCAGGUCUCCAGGGUCCCUGCCCAUCCAGGGCUGAGAACGUGGUCCUCUGGGAGCCUUCAGGCCCACUCGGACCCCAGCAUUGGGCAAUGGGCUCAUCCCUACCUGAAACUGGGGCUUGGGGUUGCAGCAUUCAACUUCCAAAGCCCAAGAGGCACUGGGACAGGUGGCCCAGCAGGCUCAGAGAUGCUCAAGUGCCAGAGGUUGGGAGGGCCCUUUGAGGCUAAGGGGUCUGACCCACUGCCAUUUUGCAAAUACAAAAACUGAGGCCCAGGGAGGGAGAGAGGUUUGCAGAACACGCCCAGCAGGCUAGUGGUAGAGCUGGGAACAGAAUCUGCAUCUUCUGCUGCUCCUAUUCAGAACUAUUCCCCUGCACCAAACAUAAUCCGCUGACAUCUAGACUGAGCUCAGCUCGUCUUCUUCCUGGACCUUGGACUCCUUGGCAGAAGGCUCUCCCAACUCACAGCCUGUCAGGGAUGGCAAUUCAGGGGCUUUCCCUUCAACCUGAUGGUCCUUUCCACCAAAGCUUCCUGGUGCUCCUCCCCUCCCACCAGUGCUCAGCCCUUCUUGGCUUCAGAAGCUGCUCCAUCAGCAGCCGUAAGGGUCACUCUCCCCUGCUCACCAUGGUUCACCCAACUCCCUGUGGUUCCCGCGUUCCCCAGCAUGGGGAGCACCAUUCUCCCUGCUCGUGGGGGUCUCCUCUUUGUUGCCCCUCGGCCCAGUCCCUGACCUUCUCUGACCACUGGAGCCUUAAAUCCCAUCAGUCUUUCCUGGGACCCCCGGACUGUUCCCUGUAGAUUUCCUCUCUGUUGGCCCAGGGCCUGUGAGAGUAAUGAUGGCUGGCAUGUCAUAGGGCUGCUGUGAGGUUUUCAUGAAUUAAUACACUCAUCAGGUACACAAGGUGUGGGUAGGUGCCUCAUCUGUAAACUCCUAUGUUACGAGCUGUGCCCUGAUAGUAACAAGGAGAGACUUGAAGCUGGAGCCUCUGGAGGCUGAGGUAUCUGUUGGUGGAAGGGGAAGAAAGGAGGUGCCAGCCUGGAGGAGUUUUUAGUAAUGGGAGAUAAUGGGAGCCACAAGGGUCUUAAGCUGGGAAGAACAUGGUCAGGUUGGCUUCCGGAAGAAUGGCAAGGGGAGCUGGGCUGCUGAGCACCAGAAGGGUGUGUUGGGCCCGGCCCGGGACCUCCGUCUCUGGCUUUGGUGAGCAGUGGAGGGGGCAGCUGCUGCCCGGGGAAGGAGCCUGCUGGGGCCCGAGCCAGAGCCCUGAGGGGCACUUUAUGUGCAUCCCUCCACUUCUCCAGGCUGCAGCCUUAGCCUGGUUUACUCCAUCUGGUGCUCUCAGACCUGGCCUGGAUCAAAGCUGCCGGUGGGUACCCAGGCUAUUUCUACACUUGCAGUGCCAGGACAUGUGCUGCCUCCUGAACCAGCCCCUGCCGUCUCUGCAUAGCCUUGUUCAAAAUUAUAUUUUUCAUAAAGUUAAGAUAAUGACCAACAUUCUGCCAUGUGAGCAUUUCUUGUGCUCCUUUUAUGCAUCAGGCAUUUUCUGAGUGUUUUAACUAAUUAACUCCUUUAAUGCUAACAUCAGUCCCUUGAUAGGGGUGCCAUCAUUCUCCCCACUUCUGUAUUUAACAAAUCGGUAAACUGAGGCACAAAAGGUUAAGUCACUUAACUGACCGAUGUCACAAAGGCAGUCUGUGGAGGAGGCAGGACUCAGCCCAGAUUCUCCUCCCCCGCCACCCUCUCCUGCCUCAGGUACAUCCCCUCCCACUGGCCUUUCCACGUGGACCGUGUCUCUCCCACUGCCUCUUGAUGGUCCUUCAAACAUCUGCAAAUGCCACACCACCUCCUCAAGCCUCCUCUUCUCUGAGGAACAUCUCUCCAUUCCUUCCAUCUUUUAAAAAUUUCUUACAAAUGUUUAUGAAGCACUUUACGCUGGAGUUGACAGUGGGCAAAGCAGUCACAGUCCCUGCCAUGGUGACCACAGUCUAGUGGACAAGAGACAAUAAAUUCCUCACCAAAAUAAAGGAUUAAAUCGCUAUUUCACCAAGUGCCAACAGAGGCCUGGGGUGCCUGCAAACCUGUAACUGAGGAUUUGGCCUCAGCGGUAAUGUCAGGGAAGGCUUUCCAGAGGAGACGAUAUUUAGGCUGAACUAACGGGAAAUUAGGAAGAACUCGGCAGAGGAGAGAGGCAGCAGCACCCCAGGAGAGAGAACAGCAUGUGCAAAAGCACUGUGGCGGCCGGGAGGGUGGCAGGCCAGGGACUGGAAGAAGGCUUAUGCAGCUGGAAGAGAGGCAAGGGGGUGCAUGAGGCCAGACAGGCUGGAGGGCUUACCAGAGGCAGGCCUGGGGGAUGGCCUGGGCCCUGCCUCACAGCCCUGGGUGCAGUUGGCUCCUCCUCACUGGCUGCUCUGCUCAAGGCUAGGCUUGGACCCAUAGCAUAAGUCCUAGAGCCAAACCUCCUGGCCCUGACAGAGGCUGCCCUCUCUCCACUUUUGCUGCAUGUCCCUGUUAACACAACCUCAGCUACAGUGGCUUCUUUUGUGGCUACCUGGCACUGUGUUGAAUCUCAUUUAUGAGGCCACACUCCUCUGUCCACCCAGCCACCCACCCAGCACAGCCUGGCCCAGUCAACACUGACUUGCCACCAGCAGCUCAACUCAAAUGCACCUGCUUGGGGAGGCCGGUGCCAACUCCUCAGGCAGGGUCACCCCUCCUUUUGCUCUCCCCAAACUCCCAGCAUGCCUCCUUGACAGCAGUAUCCCACUGAAGUGGCUGGAUGGACCCCUUGCUCUCUCACCAGCCUGCAGGUUCCAUGAGGCCAAGACCAGCUGUCUGUGGGCACCAUCACAUCACUGCAGAGGCUGGCACAAACUCUGCCCUCAGCUGUUUGUUGCAUGAAUGACUUACAUGCCUGAGCCCCUGCCCUGUGCCAGGCCUUGUGCUGGAUGCUGGGAACAUGAAGACCAGUUGUAGAUGCUGGUAGGGGAGACAGCCAAGUAAACACACAGGGACAAUGCAGGGUGCAGAGUGCGGUGACGAGGAAGCACAGGGGCUGGGGGGCACUGAGGGGGUCCCCGGACCUCACUGGAGGACCAGAAGGGCCAGAAUUUGCCAGCUGGGAGUGGUGGUGGAGAGGACUCUGAAAAUGAAUGUGAGGAAAAUCCGCCUCCUCCAGCCUCCCCAGGGCAGGUCAAGAGUAUUGGUCGCUGCUCUGCAUUUGAAAAGUGGCUUUAGUUGAUUAGGUUUCUUUCCCCUCUUGGAAUGUGGCUGCUCUGACUUGCUCCUCACUGCAUUCCUUGCAUCCUCUUCUCUCAGCCCUGCCUUCAGGACAUUGCCCACAAAAGUUUCAUCUUUUCCCACCUGGGCUCUACUCUCCCUCUCCCACCCCCUCCAUGGUUCUAUGUCCCUCACCUUCCUGGCUUUCAGCUCAUUCACCCAGCUCUGGCCGUCUCAAUGCGUGGGUGCCAGCCUGCACCCUCUUUACAUGAGCUUUGUUGAUUUCAUAACCAUAAAUAGAUAAAAUGUUCUGAAUGCUUUCAUGUGCAAGUAGAAUUGAGGGAGUGAUAGCAUAAUGAAAAGGCCUCAGGAAAAGGAAAACAGCUUGCUAAGAUGCAGCGGAAGACAACACGGUCACUGCACAAGCCAGCUCUGCGUGGGUUUCCUAUUCUCACUGCACUGACCGCGGAGCCAUGGACGCAGGAUGGGGAGGUGCUUAGGAAUCUGUUAGAAAACCUUUCCCUGGUUUCAAAUCCACCAAUUCAAAAGAACAACCUAGAAAAAAAACAGUAGAAGUCAGGAAAACCUGGGUUCAAUUGUGGAUUUAUCUCAUUCUAGCUGUGUGAUCCUAGGCAAGUUAAUCAACCUCUCUGAGAAGGCAUAGAGAGAUUCUUCCCCCCUGGGUCAGACUGGAGGCUUCGGGAGGCCCAAUAUCCCACAAUACCUUCCUUUUCCUCCCAUAUGUAAAUUUUGUCUUCCUGACAAUUCGUUAAUCACCAGCCCUGAGACCCCCCUGCCCAAAAUGCAGUCCUGAAGACUAGGGUCGGAAUAGGGAUGGAAUGGGGUACCCUGCCUCCUCAUUGCCUGUUCCAACUCCUGGUGCAGGAAGUGGAGCAUCAUCCUGCAUGGGGAGGGUACAUCUCCACAGCCACAAAAGGGGCUGGAAACCAAUAAGGAGCCUGACCCAUUGGGCUUCCCACCUCUCCUCCUUUAAGUUGUCCAGGAGCACUACUUCUCCAUGGCCUUUGGAACAGUAAAGGGGGCUGAAAUGAUAGCUUGGUAUACCCUGGGUUAAGAGAGCUUUCUGGGUGAGAAAGAGAAACAAGUGGAGAUAUUCCUGGUGUGAACUCAUCCUCUGGUCUAAGGAUGGCACGCUUUUUCUCUAAAGGAUCAAUUAGUAAAAAGUGUCAAAAAGUUCUUUAGGCUUUUUGAACCAUAUGGUCUCUGUUGCAACUACUCAGCUCUUCCAUUGUAAUGUGAAAACAGCCAUAGACAAUGAGUAAAUGAAUGAAUGUGACUGUGUUCCAAUAAAACUUUAUUUACAAAAGGAGGCAGCAGGCUAGAUGUGGCUAGAUUUGCAGUCCAUAGUUUGUAAACCCUAGCCCUAUCACGUGGUGCAAAAGAGAAAGCUUGGGUUGGGAGCAGGAACUAGGGGUGAGGCUCAGCAUUGCCAGACUUGCUGUGUGACUUUGAUUAAGUCAUUAUCUAUCUCUGAGCCUUUGUUUCACCAUCUAUCAAAUGAGCAUCAUAAUAUCAGUCAAGGCUGGGUGUCGUGGCUCACACGUGUAAUUCCAGCACUUUGGGAGGCCAAGGUGGGAGGAUUGCUUGAGGUCAGGAGUUCAAGACCAGCCUGGGCAGAAAAAAUUUUUUUAAAUUAUCUGGGUGUAGUAGUUUAUGCCUGUAGUCCCAGCUACUCGAGAUCCUGACACAGAAGAUCAUUUCAGCCCAGGAGUUUGAGGUGGCAGUGAGCUAUGAUCAGGCCACUGCACUCUAGUCUAGAUGACAGAGCAAGACUGUAUAUAAAUAACAAUAAUGAUAUCAGCCAGAUUUGUCGUGAGAAUGUGUCUAACAGGCCAGAGCAAAUCUGAAGUCUUUUUGUCCCUCUGCUUCAUAACGUUAAGUGGAUUUGCACCCACUGCCCAUGCCAACCUCAGCUGGCCAUGCCCUUGCCUGCUGAGGGUAGCAGCAGCCUGCCAGAAAGGAAGGUGUCUCUCUCCAGGGUCAGAUUCUUCAUCUGUCUUUCCAAGCUCGAGCCCCAAGUGACCCCAUUUCUGUAGCAAGCCAAGCACGGGAGGAAACAAGGAAUCCCUUUCUUUCCACCAUCCAGUCAUUUGGCAACAAGCUACAGUUCACUUGAGAGAGUGAUAUGGCUGCAGUGGCUGGUGGCCAGGCUUUGGAGGAGGCCUUGGAGACUCAGGCUGGGAAUAGAACUAUGAAAAAUGGGCUUCAGUGCUCCUCUGGAACAUUAACCUAUGGCCAUAAGUUAAGUAGUUGCAGCUGUGGUCUCAUUGGUAACUUGCAGCACCACCAAUUGCAUCAAUGCAUCUUUCUUGGACCAUCUUGCCCACCUGUCUGGUCUGACCACUACUGCAAGCUUGCAUCCUUUGGCAUAUUGUCAUUUUCUCUGAAGCCCCAUUCAGUGAUUCAUUCAUUCAUAUUCUUUCUGUCUCUCCCCACUUCCCUUCCCUUCCUCCCCCUUUCUCUUUCUCAUAGACACAUUUGUCCAGAGCAAGACAAGAUCACACUUUGACAGCCCUCUGUCAAGAUCCUUGCUCCAAAUCUCCAGACUAGCAGCCAGGAGUCUCCAUGCUGUUCUGAAGAAGCAGAUUCCUCACCCACCCUUCAACUCCUUCCCAGGAGGUAAUCCUCCUCCAAAUCUCUGGAAAAGAUACACCUCCUCUUCUCUGAUAAAGGCUGGGGGGUGAUGCCCCUCCCCCAGUUUCCCAAUAAAGCUAUGCAAGACAGGAGCAAGG